AUUGAACGCUGGCGGCAGGCCUAACACAUGCAAGUCGAACGAGUGGCGGACGGGUGAGUAAUGUCUGGGAAACUGCCCGAUGGAGGGGGCUAACUACUGGACACGGUAGCUAAUACCGCAUACCAUCAGAUGUGCCCAGAUGGGAUUAGCUAGUAGGUGGGGUAACGGCUCACCUAGGCGACGAUCCCUAGCUGGUCUGCGAGGAUGACACGCCACACUGGAACUGAGACACGGUCCAGACUCCUACGGGAGGCAGCAGUGGGGAAUAUGGCACAAUGGGCGCAAGCCUGAUGCAGCCAUGCCGCGUGUAUGAAGAAGGCCGUCGGGUUGUAAAGUACUUUCAGCGAGGAGGCGUUACGCGCAGAAGAAGCACCGGCGAACUCCGUGCCAGCAGCCGCGGUAAUAC
rnacentral:rRNA from 1 species